CACGUAGGAGGCGAGCGUUUAUCCGGAUUCACUGGGCGUAAAGCGCGUGCAGGCGGUUUGGUAAGUUGGGCGUGAAAGCUCCCGGCUCAACUGGGAGAGGUCGUUCAUACUACCAAACUAGAGAGUAGAAGAGGAAGAUGGAAUUCCCGGUGUAGUGGUGAAAUGCGUAGAUAUCGGGAGGAACACCAGUGGCGAAGGCGACUACCUGGCCUGUUCUUGACGCUGAGGCGCGAAAGCUAGGGGAGCAACGGGG
rnacentral:rRNA from 1 species